rnacentral:rRNA from 1 species
AUGCAAACUUCCUCGUUUGUCACCUCGUAUCUUAACGAGCUGCAGCAACUGGAGAAGCCCGUCGAGCGACAAGUGCAGGCAGUACAGCAAGGAGGAAACAGGAGUUGGCGUGCGUCACCGCUGGGUGUUGCGAAGAUUAAUGUGGACGGAGCUGUGGGGCGUCAUAGACGUGGCGGGGCAGUCGCAGCAGUGUGCCGAGAUCACACGGGAGCUUAUUUGGGUUCAUCUGCGGUUGUUUAUCGUGGUAUAACUGACCCCACAACCUUGGAGACAUUUGCGUGCAGGGAAGCUCUAGCUCUUGCAGAGGAUCUUCAGACGACAAACAUGAUGAUUGCCUCAGAUUGCAAAGGAGUGAUUCAAGAUAUAAAUGAAGGAACAAACGGUCCGCACUCGGCUAUAGUACAUGAAAUAACACUUCGGAAAGGCUUUUUCAAUUCGGUUGUUUUUGUUUUCGAGCGUAGAAAUCAUAAUUUCGAGGCUCAUAAUCUCGCCAAGUUCGCUUGUAACUUAGGAGUAGGUCGGCAUGUUUGGUUGGGAGUUCCCCAUGACCAAAGUCGUGUACCUAUGAACAUUGCUAUUAUUUAA